UGAUAAGGUCCGUGUUCGAAAGGGAAACAGCCCAGACCACCAGCUAAGGUCCCAAAAUAUAUGUUAAGUGGAAAAGGAUGUGGCGUUGCCCAGACAACUAGGAUGUUGGCUUAGAAGCAGCCAUCAUUUAAAGAGUGCGUAAUAGCUCACUAGUCGAGUGACACUGCGCCGAAAAUGUACCGGGGCUAAACAUAUUACCGAAGCUGUGGAUUGUCCUUUGGACAAUGGUAGGAGAGCGUUCUAAGGGCGUUGAAGCAUGAUCGUAAGGACAUGUGGAGCGCUUAGAAGUGAGAAUGCCGGUGUGAGUAGCGAAAGACGGGUGAGAAUCCCGUCCACCGAUUGACUAAGGUUUCCAGAGGAAGGCUCGUCCGCUCUGGGUUAGUCGGGUCCUAAGCUGAGGCCGACAGGCGUAGGCGAUGGAUAACAGGUUGAUAUUCCUGUACCACCUAUAAUCGUUUUAAUCGAUGGGGGGACGCAGUAGGAUAGGCGAAGCGUGCGAUUGGAUUGCACGUCUAAGCAGUAAGGCUGAGUAUUAGGCAAAUCCGGUACUCGUUAAGGCUGAGCUGUGAUGGGGAGAAGACAUUGUGUCUUCGAGUCGUUGAUUUCACACUGCCGAGAAAAGCCUCUAGAUAGAAAAUAGGUGCCCGUACCGCAAACCGACACAGGUAGUCAAGAUGAGAAUUCUAAGGUGAGCGAGCGAACUCUCGUUAAGGAACUCGGCAAAAUGACCCCGUAACUUCGGGAGAAGGGGUGCUCUUUAGGGUUAACGCCCAGAAGAGCCGCAGUGAAUAGGCCCAAGCGACUGUUUAUCAAAAACACAGGUCUCUGCUAAACCGUAAGGUGAUGUAUAGGGGCUGACGCCUGCCCGGUGCUGGAAGGUUAAGAGGAGUGGUUAGCUUCUGCGAAGCUACGAAUCGAAGCCCCAGUAAACGGCGGCCGUAACUAUAACGGUCCUAAGGUAGCGAAAUUCCUUGUCGGGUAAGUUCCGACCCGCACGAAAGGCGUAACGAUUUGGGCACUGUCUCAACGAGAGACUCGGUGAAAUCAUAGUACCUGUGAAGAUGCAGGUUACCCGCGACAGGACGGAAAGACCCCGUGGAGCUUUACUGUAGCCUGAUAUUGAAAUUCGGCACAGCUUGUACAGGAUAGGUAGGAGCCUUUGAAACGUGAGCGCUAGCUUACGUGGAGGCGCUGGUGGGAUACUACCCUAGCUGUGUUGGCUUUCUAACCCGCACCACUUAUCGUGGUGGGAGACAGUGUCAGGCGGGCAGUUUGACUGGGGCGGUCGCCUCCUAAAAGGUAACGGAGGCGCUCAAAGGUUCCCUCAGAAUGGUUGGAAAUCAUUCAUAGAGUGUAAAGGCAUAAGGGAGCUUGACUGCGAGACCUACAAGUCGAGCAGGGUCGAAAGACGGACUUAGUGAUCCGGUGGUUCCGCAUGGAAGGGCCAUCGCUCAACGGAUAAAAGCUACCCCGGGGAUAACAGGCUUAUCUCCCCCAAGAGUUCACAUCGACGGGGAGGUUUGGCACCUCGAUGUCGGCUCAUCGCAUCCUGGGGCUGUAGUCGGUCCCAAGGGUUGGGCUGUUCGCCCAUUAAAGCGGUACGCGAGCUGGGUUCAGAACGUCGUGAGACAGUUCGGUCCCUAUCCGUCGUGGGCGUAGGAAAUUUGAGAGGAGCUGUCCUUAGUACGAGAGGACCGGGAUGGACAUACCUCUGGUGUACCAGUUGUCGUGCCAACGGCAUAGCUGGGUAGCUAUGUGUGGACGGGAUAAGUG
rnacentral:rRNA from 1 species